rnacentral:tRNA from 1 species
UAGCAAUUAGUUUAAUAAAAACAAAUGAUUUCGACUCAUUAAUUUAUGUGCAUUACAUAAUUGCUAA